GACGAACGCUGGCGGCGUGCUUAACACAUGCAAGUCGAACGGAAAGGCCCUGCUUUUGUGGGGUGCUCGAGUGGCGAACGGGUGAGUAACGCGUGAGUAACCUGCCCUUGACUGUGGGAUAACUUCAGGAAACUGGGGCUAAUACCGGAUAGGAGCUCCUGCUGCAUGUUGUGGGUUGGAAAGUUUCGGCGGUUGGGGAUGGACUCGCGGCUUAUCAGCUUGUUGGUGGGGUAGUGGCUUACCAAGGCUUUGACGGGUAGCCGGCCUGAGAGGGUGACCGGCCACAUUGGGACUGAGAUACGGCCCAGACUCCUACGGGAGGCAGCAGUGGGGAAUAUUGCACAGUGGGCGGAAGCCUGAUGCAGCAACGCCGCGUGCGGGAUGACGGCCUUCGGGUUGUAAACCGCUUUCGCCUGUGACGAAGCGUGAGUGACGGUAAUGGGUAAAGAAGCACCGGCUAACUACGUG
rnacentral:rRNA from 1 species